GUACUCUCAAGCUUUGCUUGGUGUUGGGUGUUUGUCCUUGCCUUUGUGCUUGGACUCGCCUUAAAUUCAUUGGCAGCCAAUGUAUUGGUUUGAAGCGCAGCACAAUUUGCGGUUUUGACUGAUUAUCAUUAGCGUCCAUAAAGCACAAUUAACAC
rnacentral:misc_RNA from 1 species